GGAGUGCAGAGUAGCUCUUAUUUUAGCAAAUUAGCAAUGAUUUCGGUCCUGUGCAAGUAAUUAAGUCUGAAUAUAUUUGGACACAGUUCAAUCUUUCUGUAAUUGGGGGAGCAGGAUUUGAGUCACUGUGGGGAUCAGAAUGGGGAAGCAGGACAUAAUAAAAAUAAUAGCAAGAGACAAACAGUUCAUGUGAUGAAUUAAAACAGUUCACAAUGAUUUUUAAACUCAGAAACAAGUGGAUUUUUCACAUUGCUUUGUGAAUUGAUGUUGUAAUAUAUUUUAAUUUGUGGACACAUUCUCCCUUGUGACACCUUGGCAGAAAGAAAUUUAAACAGCAGCUUACCAUUAUGAAAGACAAAUCUGAGUGACAAGCAUGGCUCCCUGAGGAGGAGAAAAUCCUUCAUCCUGGUUUGCACCAUUCAAAGCUCCGUUGUCCAGGAUGUCUGGUGAUUUUGACUGAAAGAUUACCUGAUUCUGUCAUAGUUCAGAGCCUAAUUUUCUUAAAUCGCAUCAGAACCCUUGGGUAAAUACCAUCUGGUACUAACUACUUGCCAUACCUCAAAGCAUUAAAUUCCUCUUGUUGGAAGAGGAGCAAAUACCACAGCACACUGUCUUGAUUGAGAAUGUAAUCUUUCCUUUCAUGGGCUGCUGUGGAAUAGGUGAUAACACUCGACCACAGGUGCUAACUAUUUGAGUGACAGCAACUCAGUGGGUCAUCCAAACCUGCUUCUUUGCUAUGUUGGAGGAAUGGGCAAUUACAAGGGGAGGAGAUUAAAAGAAGAUCCUGCUAAGUAGUGUAACUAUGCUGUGAGUGGGAGUACAUCCUCCUGCAGAGCUCCCAAGUCAUUUGUGGCCAAGUGAAAAAAUGGUUCAGUAUCUGGUAUGGCAAAAAUCGUGUUUCCAGCUCCACCAAAUAAUUCUUACCCUUGAAAUUUUUUGCUGUUCAGUGCACAGUGAAGCACUGGGCACUCUGGAUAUCAUCAUUCCCAAGUGACCAGGAGAUAAUAUUGGCAACUGGUGGAUUAGUCUUAAGUCUCUUGGUAAUAAACUUCUUAUGAAGAGGCCACAUCUUAUCUCUGAAAUAAGAUGCGCUCAGAGACAUUCAUUAGGAAUUAAUCAGAAUCGAUACGAGGCACAGUGAAGCUAUAUACUUGUCUGAUUAAAGCAGCCACAAGAUGCCAACAGCCUGCUUUUGCAUAGCACACAGUGCAUUUAACUCCUGCCAAAUUCAGGUGUCCUGCAAGGCUGGGGAUCCCAUAUACGUCUUCUGUGUUACGAAAUGAAAAAAAAUUCCUAUAUAAACUUUUGUUGCAGUUUUCCUGCCUUGUAUGUAAGAAAAGCCACGGUUCAGAAAAGGGAGCAAGGAAAUGCCAAAGUUUCUAGCAGUUGAGAGGUGCUCAAUAACAGAAGGAAAGAAAGAAACAAACAGGAUGUUUCUGUGAGAAGAAACUACACUUACUGGUAACAGUCUUCAAAGUGACUGACAGGGAAAAUGGAAAAUUGUGGAAAAAGGGAGACAUGACAGUACUUAAAUUAUUACCUGAAGCCAAUUUAAAGUAUAGUGAAGGUGCAAUAUCUUUUGCCAUGAAAAUUAGAAUAACUCGACUGUUGUUGGUAACAGGUAGAUGUCCCAUUCAAUUAAUAUGUGUUUUGGGGAGGAAGAUGGUUAUAGAGGUGAAAGUAAGGGUUAAAGAACCUCAGCACUCCUGUCUUUCAGCAAUCCCUGUGGUACCCCAGCAUGUGUGACGAGGUGCUGACACAGAGGGAUGGAGGUCAGAUUUCUGACUUCACUUUCCGACUUCAGGAAAGCAAAAACCUUUAAGGGUAUUGUCACUUUUUUGGUGAAUUCAGGUCAAUGCAAACCUUGCAGUCACUUUCAGUGGAGUUUGAAUUUCAUAUUUGGCUUUUAAUAAAAACUGUAACCCACGUUCAUGAAAAGCUGGAAGAAAUUUUCCCAGGGUUUCAGAACACAGCCAAAUCCAGCUGGGCUGGCACCUCAGACAAAUUAAGGAGAAAAAGUAAAUCUCAGGAGACCCUCAUAGGUUGCAUUAAUUUUUAAAACACCCAUGUCCUGGUUUUUAGGAGUAAACAGCAACUACAGUUCCCACUAAAACUCAGAAAAUGAGACCAAAUAUGCUUAUUCAGCAGAAGAGCAGUAGAAGGCAAACUCUUCUGCAGUAACAGGACAGACAGACAUAAGGAAAGGUCUUUCAUGCAGAAAACAUUUCAAUGCCCAUAAUAGAGGUAUUUCCAUCUCCCUCAAUAUUUUUCAUUACAUUACUACAGCUGCUGUGUGGAAAUUGUCUGCAAUAAUGAAGUCUUUGUCUAGGAAUACCACCCCCUGGCUUCUAGAUUCAACUAACAGGGAUUUGAUACCAAUAGAGACCUCAAAUAAAAUUUCAUUUUAAUAGCGAGAGGUAAACACUGAAAAAUUGGAAUACUGAGCAUCAAAAUUAGUCUAUAAAGGAAAAUUGAUACAUAUGGUUUCCUUAUCAGAUGAAACAGCUGUUGACAGAAAUAUGUGCCUGGCAGGUCAGAGAUUUUGGAAAAUUAGGAAUCUGCACAUUGUGGACUUUGAUGUGGGCAUGGAAUUCAUUUGAAGAGACCCAAAGAUUGUUCAAGGGCUUGUUAAAAACACACGCGUAAAUAUACAUCCUGGGUGUAAAAACAGUAUGUUAAAAGACAUACAGGAGUAUUUAAAAAAAUUGCAAAAAUAAAAAUGUGGCCAAAAUUGGAUUCCGAAAUUAAUAAAAUCUCUUCUACUUACAUAAUCAUCAAAAAAUAACUAACCUGCAGUAUUAGAUUAAAAAAUUUCAAGAGCCUUACACACUCAAACUUUCUGUUUUUGAAAUUAUAUCAUAAGCCAUCAAAGGGGGACCCUUUAACUUCUUAACAGUCGAGGCACUUUCACUUUAAAACAGGCUAUUGGCUUUGUCCAUUUUUGAACAGUUCAUUGUCGGAUUCAGAUAGUUCUUAACAUAAUUCUGUAUAAUUUCAGGAAACCUUUUGGCAAGAGUGAAUCUGUUAGGUUACCCAUUCUGUCUGACAGUCAGAAACGGAAAGGAUUGAUUGCACGUGAGUAUAGGACUAUCUGAUAGAAAUGGUCUCUCAGUCAUACAUGAGUGACAGAAAUACAUCUUGACUACUCUGUUCUUUCUUCUUGACACUUUGUAAUGAAGAUCCUUGUAUCAGAUAAAAGACACCCCAGAUUACAUACGUUUGCAUUAUAAAAAGGGGAGGGUGAAAAUUAUUGUGAACACAAGCAAAGUUCUAAAAAGGCCAACAAUGAUACACAGACUUGUCCAAAACCAAUGAGAUACAUAGGAGAAAAUGAAAAAGAUUUUGGGGAGGAGGCAACAGUUUGUUCUGGUCAUCUUCGGAGAUGAUGUCACCACAGAAAUGAGGUAGAUAUUGAGAUGGAGUGGAAGGAAGAAAGCACGAGUGUAUCAGCAUUUUUGUCCUUUUCUCCCCAUGACAGCCCCACAGUUAAUACAACACAGCUCAUUAGAUCAUGAAAAGACUGCUAGACACUUUCCUUAACAGUGUCUCCCUGUAGCCCUAUUAGAUUCCCCAUUGUCUGGUUAUGCUGAGCCAAUUAAAUAAUCAGCAUCCAGUUUUGUGGAAACCACAGAUAAAAUCCAGAUAAAAGGCACUAGGAUAUCGUUUUGCAGAAACUGAAAGAUCCAUAUGACAAACUGAGAUGUUAAACCUGACUCUUCAUCCCACGAAGAAAAAUAAGUGGGAAAUUUUGUGUACCAUGGAAUAUAAAGCUUGCUGUUCCCAUGUAAGUUCCCUACUUGCCAUUCCUUUACUUUGCCCAUCUUUCCUCUUGUUCCCUACGCUGCCAUCCCGACUCAAUGGAGCAACAACUAUUAGUAGUUCUCACUGAGGUAUUUGGAGCCAGUUCAGCAGCAAAGCCCCGGCAGAGAAUACCUGUCACUGCUCUGCCAUGCUGUCUGAAA